rnacentral:rRNA from 1 species
GGGGGAUAACGUAGCGAAAGUUACGCUAAUACCGCAUACGAUCUAAGGAUGAAAGUGGGGGAUCGCAAGACCUCAUGCUCCUGGAGCGGCCGAUAUCUGAUUAGCUAGUUGGUGGGGUAAAGGCCUACCAAGGCAUCGAUCAGUAGCUGGUCUGAGAGGACGACCAGCCACACUGGAACUGAGACACGGUCCAGACUCCUACGGGAGGCAGCAGUGGGGAAUUUUGGACAAUGGGCGCAAGCCUGAUCCAGCAAUGCCGCGUGAGUGAAGAAGGCCUUCGGGUUGUAAAGCUCUUUUGUCAGGGAAGAAACGGUGGGGGCUAAUAUCCCCUGCUAAUGACGGUACCUGAAGAAUAAGCACCGGCUAACUACGUGCCAGCAGCCGCGGUAAUACGUAGGGUGCAAGCGUUAAUCGGAAUUACUGGGCGUAAAGCGUGCGCAGGCGGUUUUGUAAGUCUGUCGUGAAAUCCCCGGGCUCAACCUGGGAAUUGCGAUGGAGACUGCAAGGCUAGAAUCUGGCAGAGGGGGGUAGAAUUCCACGUGUAGCAGUGAAAUGCGUAGAGAUGUGGAGGAACACCGAUGGCGAAGGCAGCCCCCUGGGUCAAGAUUGACGCUCAUGCACGAAAGCGUGGGGAGCAAACAGGAUUAGAUACCCUGGUAGUCCACGCCCUAAACGAUGUCUACUAGUUGUCGGGUUUUAAUUAACUUGGUAACGCAGCUAACGCGUGAAGUAGACCGCCUGGGGAGUACGGUCGCAAGAUUAAAACUCAAAGGAAUUGACGGGGACCCGCACAAGCGGUGGAUGAUGUGGAUUAAUUCGAUGCAACGCGAAAAACCUUACCUACCCUUGACAUGGCAGGAAUCCCUGAGAGAUUGGGGAGUGCUCGAAAGAGAACCUGCACACAGGUGCUGCAUGGCUGUCGUCAGCUCGUGUCGUGAGAUGUUGGGUUAAGUCCCGCAACGAGCGCAACCCUUGUCAUUAGUUGCUACGAAAGAGCACUCUAAUGAGACUGCCGGUGACAAACCGGAGGAAGGUGGGGAUGACGUCAAGUCCUCAUGGCCCUUAUGGGUAGGGCUUCACACGUCAUACAAUGGUACAUACAGAGGGCCGCCAACCCGCGAGGGGGAGCUAAUCCCAGAAAGUGUAUCGUAGUCCGGAUUGUAGUCUGCAACUCGACUACAUGAAGUUGGAAUCGCUAGUAAUCGCGGAUCAGCAUGUCGCGGUGAAUACGUUCCCGGGUCUUGUACACACCGCCCGUCACACCAUGGGAGCGGGUUUUACCAGAAGUAGGUAGCUUAACCGCAAGGAGGGCGCUUACCACGGUAGGAUUCGUGACUGGGGU